ACAUGACUCCUGUUUCAGCGUUAGAGUUUGUGAUCAUCAUAGCCAUCUUGUGUAGCGGUACCACUGCGCGUCUUGUCAGGGGAGAUAAUCAGACGUCAUUACCAGAGGGUGAGGAGGAAAAUAGACCAUGUUUUAAGAUGUACGAGGGCUGCAUGGCUGGAUUCAGUAUAAAACCAUCCACCAACGCCGAUGGGAGUUUGCAUUUCCCGGGCGACUUCUUCGGAACAGUCUGUGACUAUUUCAUCACCGGCGGUAUUUGUUAUGGACUCACAACGUACGAAGUUUGCGAGCCAAGUUUUCAACCAAUCAAUGUUAUCAGAAAUUUUAAUAAUAUAUCCAUCAAACUGUGCCGCAAUACGGAAGCUUUGGACUCUCUUGUUCCCUGCUUGAAUGAUAAAGAAUUCCCUAAAGCAUACAUGAGCGUGAUCGAUUAUGUGGGCUCUGGAAAAGAAAGCCGUUGCAAAAGAUGGGGGACAACGUCAUGAUGUCUACGAGAGAAAAAGGCAAUAUGAUUAAAAUCAGAUCCACUGACGCAGAUCUACGUGAGCGGAUCAAAAGAUCUGAUUUUAGUCACUUUAAGGAAACGGUUGAUUAAGAUUAUAUUUUCAUGUUGCAGCAGUUAAAAUGCUGAUAAAAAUAGUCAGGCUAAUAUUUUGUACACAAAUUAUGAUUGUAAACCUAAAGGAAAGAGAAAUACGACAUAUAUGUUCUUGAGAUCAAUUGAUAAUUUUUACUUCUGUAAUUUCUACUAUAUGCCGACCAAAUGAAUGGCAUUUGGAGUAUGCAGUACAUUUCAACACAACCAUGCACGAUGCAAUUUUCAGGAAACAUAAUUUUAUGGCAUUUACUUUCCAUUAACUUGAAACAUGAAGUUUAGCAACUUAAAAUGUUCAUUAGACUUGAAACAUGAAUAUUGAUUAAAUUGUAUCUUUAAUAAACUUGAUAUUUAACAUUGAAUUAUGUGUGAUUUUAUCUGCAAAUUUAAUUGAGCAUUAAAUUCCAGUGAUAUUUGCAACGUCUUAUAUAACAUACACUUAAUCAAAUGUAAUUUUAUCAAAUACAUUUUUCAUUCAGUGACAUGUUCUCAGACGUUCUAUACUUAUAUGACGCAGAACGUGAAUGUAUUGGAUUAUAAAACGCUCUUCAACUCAGAUGUGAGUGUGCAAACAACUUCACACGGACAUGCGGCCCUGAAUAUCCCUGUUCCCUGCUUGAAUGAUAUAAAAUUCUAUGAAGAAUACCAGCGCGCAGUCCAAUAUAUGGGCCGUGGAAAGGAGAGUCGUUGCAAUGCGGUCAACGAAGUCAUACGCCGGAUUUUGCGACUCUUCAAAGAAAGAUGUGGUGCACCUGAGUAUACCACUUUGAAAACAGUGAUGGAGGACGUUGGUGGAGAUAUACUUCCGGCAUCUGUCGGUCAAAGCUGCAGUAUGGACAUCAACACUCUUUACUCUGACAGACGUAGGCGGGGCGUGGCCAGUGCGACUCUCACGAGAAUGAUGGAUUUAUGGAUUUAAUAAAAUUAUGGUACCAAACAGC